UUAGGGUGGACCCCACUUCAAUUUUAGGACACAUGAUCCUAGGAAAACCUACCAACCGUCACUUUUGCUGGACUCACUCUCGGCAAAUUCACCUUGGGGGCUGGAUUUUUCUCUUUGGAAGCACGUAAACUUGGCACCAAGAAGAGAGAGCUUUCUUUGAAUAUUGAGAUGGAAUGCAGAGAUAUGGGAUAGGUGUCCAGCCACCACUUGUUUUUGGCUCUCUUAUUUUUGACUGUUUG
rnacentral:lncRNA from 1 species